UGUGUCUGGGCGGUUCCAAAGUGCUCACAGUGCAGGUAGUGUUGCCAGAUCUACUGCAGUAUGGGCACUUCUAGUAGCGCCGGACUCCU
ensembl:miRNA mir20b microRNA 20b